rnacentral:snRNA from 1 species
GUGCUUGCUUCGGCAGCACAUAUACAAAAAUUGGAAAGAUACAGAGAAGAUUAGCAUGGCCCUUGUGCAAGGAUGACAGGCAAAUUCAUGAAGCAUUCCAUAUUAAA